rnacentral:lncRNA from 1 species
GAGUUUAUAUUAAAUCUCCAGCAACCUUGAACAAAAUUCACAUUAGUUGCAGGUGAUGCAAGAUCUAGUCCUGUUAAAGGAUUGGUUUCAAAGUUCUCUAUGAAAUCCUUCCUGUUAAGUAUGAUACUGUCCAUGUUUCAAAUUCUCGCAUUAUAAUUUUCUUAUAGCCCAAAUUGUUUCUCGGGAUUGUGACACGUGCUAAAGAAUUAGUUCCUGUUGUCUAGUGGCUCUGACAUCGUAAUUGAACUAGGUACUUCUGUCUCCCAUAUGUUCUCCCUUAGAGGAACUAUGCGUUGGCCUGCCCCCCUGGUUGCCACCGGAUUCCGGCGGAGCUGGAGAGGAUAUGUGUAAGGUGUGUCAGGGAAGUGAUUUAAACCCUUUCCACAUGAACUGAGGACAAACUGGACUGAACUCCACCCUCUAUGAGUCCACCACAAGAUGACUUCAACACACCAGAUAACAAGCUAUGCGUUACCAGAGAAGAUUGU